rnacentral:lncRNA from 1 species
GAAUGAGACUGCUUUUAAAGCAACACAUCAGAUCUUCUGCGUCUAAAAUGUAGAGUUUUUUUGAUUGAGUAAUUAUACUUACUACUUAAUAAAUACUUAUUAAAAUGCUUAUUCUAAAGUACUAUGAUUUUAGUAAUGCUAUCAGUCCUCCAAGUGUUAGGGACAAUCUUAGAAUUCUCAUGUAAUGAGAAGCAAGAAAACUAUGUGUUACUAUUCAUUAUAUUUCAUGUUUGACCAUUUGACUAACCAGCAGGCUUGGAGUUGAAUAGCUUUUGCUUUGCAACACUAAUCCUCACACUUAAAAUGAUUCCAUUAAUCUUACUCAGAAGACAAAUAAGGAGGUUCUGAUGAAAUCUCUGAAAAAAAAUAAUAAUUUCACACCAUGGCUGCCCUAAAAGGAUCAUUUUAGUUUCUUUGAUUAACUUUCUCAGAACAGACCUCUCCAUUAUUCAUUAUUUUCUUAUCCUCCAUUCUGUCUGCUUCAUUCCUGUUUAAUACAGAUUACCAUUCCUAACUCCUCUCUAGCACUUCUCACCACUGAGCCAUCUCUCCAGCCCCAAUAACUUUAUUUUUUAAGACAGGGUUGCAAAUGUUUAAGAAACCAGAAGCAGGUAAAUCUGCCUAUGUCCAGAGCCUUGCUUGCUGCUUGAGUCAUGCCUUACCUGCUAUAAGACAGAGUUUCCGCAUAGGUCAGUUCUAUGUGGUGUGGCAGUUACAUAGGAUGAGUACAUUUUCAGAGCAGCUAGAUGUCUGCAUGUGUGCAUAUAUGCAUGCCCACUCCUUUCAUAUACGUUUGUGAAGCACCUGCCUUGAGUUCUAAUAAAAUUGCCCGUUUUGCAUUUGUACCCAGAGUAAUAUGUGCCAGAUACUUCAAUCUCAGAAUUACUAAGAAUCUGGCAGAAGUCCAGAGAAAAGAAAGUAUAAUUGGAAAAUAAAUGUUACACUGGGGUGAAUCUGAAAAAGGGUGGUCAUUUAAAAACCAGUUAUUAGAGCCAUUAUGGUGAGGUACACCUUUAAUCAUAGCACUCAGGAAGCAGGGGCAGGUGAGCCACCAUGGACUGCAUAGCAAGCCAGCCUUGAAUAUAGUGAGUCCAGUCUCAAAAGAAAAAAAAAGGUAAGUGAGGCUGGAGAAAUGGCUUAGAGGUUAAGAGUGUGGACUGUUCUUGCGUAGUUAUGACCAUUGAAUUUAGUUCCCAACAUUCUUUUUGGGUGGCUCGAAACUUCCUGUAACUCCAGCUCCUUGGACAUCCAAUAUCUCUGGCCUGCACACAGAUACACAUAAAUAUAUACACAUAAACAUAAUUACCAAUAAUAAAAAAUUUAAAUGAGUUAUCAAAGGCGAUUUAUCACAUGUAUAGAACAGGCCAAGUGUAGAAAAACAUAGAAGUCAUUGUUAGUCUUGAAUUCAGCAAGCGUUAAUCAAUCUAUAUUUAAUUCAGUUCAGUGGCAUUCAUUAAGGAUGAAUUAAUCACUAUAGGAUUAAGCCUUUAUCCUAUAGUGUCCAGUUUUUCUCUACUUCUGAAAUGAGUUGUUCACCAGUAUUAUCUUCUCCCAUCCUAAGCUGUUCAUUUUAAGAUGUGGCAGAGUAAAGUGGUUUUUCCUAACUUACUUGCUAUCAACAUACCACUGGAAAAAAUCUCUGAGGUAUCAAAGAAUUUCUCCAUGAAGCCAGAUAAGUAUUCAAGAAUGCAUGGACCAGUAUAGGUUCGCUCUUGUUUCUACACCUCCAGAAUGAUAGCUGACAUUUUUGUUUUGUUUUUCAGCAGUUGCCAUGAGCCAAACCCUAAGUUAAAUAUGUAUCCUACAUAAGAGCUAAUCUCACCACUACAUGCCCAUCUAUGGAAGAUCUAACAGAAGCUUAGGGAACUAAGCAACAUAACAUAUCCAGCAAAAGGCAAGAUUCUAACCUAUACAGCCUGAUGCUAGAGCCUGUGAUGACCACUGACCAACUGACUGAACUCCAGCCAGCCAAAUGAAACCAUGUACCCUUGGCAUAAGAGCCUAGGUAAAAUAAUAUGCAGUAGUAUAGUGUGGAUCCAUUGCAAUUACUGGAAAAUUGGUUUAAAAUACUAUUUGCAGUGAGACCAUCUUUAGACUUGGAUAUUCUUGAUUCUUAGUUCAAAAAAGUUAUUUUGUCAAUAAAACAUGCUUAAAGGAGUAACUAGGAGGGUAAAGCAGUUACAGCUUAGUGAUACAAAUACAUUUCUCUGUAGACUUCCUUAAGGAAAGACGUGAGUAGAGCUAGGUUGGGCAGAUGGACAGGUGGCAAUAGUAAGCUUAUCCGAAGCCUACAGUGAGAAACCAUGUAGGCUUCUUGCCCGUUUCUAAUCACCAUUCUGUGUGUCUUCUGUUUUUCUUGAUUUUUUUCAAGUGUGGUAUUCAUUUUUAACCCAUUUCCGCUUUAGGUCUUCCUGGUUUUUCAUAGUCAACAUUCCACUGAAAUGUACAUAGAAUUGCCAGUGUAUAAAUUAAGAUGUUUUAUUGUUGUUGUCCUUCUUAAUCUCAUUAUACUUCAUCAUGUUGAGUUUCCCAACAUGUGAUGACUAUUCUUGGUUGUCAUCUUGAAUACUACUAGGUGAUUAGGCCUAUUGGUAGAUAGCCAUUGUUGAACUACCUGGACCACAAUUUGUAAGCCAUUCUAAUACAUCCCCUUUAUAUGUAUUUUUUCAUUCUAUAAGUUCUGUUCUAGAGAAUCCCAAGUAAUACAGAUUUUCAUAUCAGAGGUGGUUCUAGAGCAAUAGAAGUAUUAAGGUGAAUUUUUUUUAAGUAUUUGGGAUAGGUUUGCAGACACCUACAGUUACUGAAGUCUCUCAGAAACUCAGGGAAUAUUGAAAACCCAUGCUGUGAACUGUUUUACAAACUUACAGAGAUAAAUGCAUUUGAUUAUCCUGAUUUACCAGUUGUGAGAGGCAAGAAAUUUGUUGAGUCUGUAUAUAAAACUUGAAAAUUUG